AUUCCAGCUUCAGUAGCGUAUAUUAAAGUUGUUGCAGUUAAAAAGCUCGUAGUCGCAUUUCUGGCGAGAGGAAUUGGUCCGACAUUUAUUGUGGGUACUCGAUUCUCUCUCGCCAUCCUUGAGUGGUCCGUUCUGGCAUUUAGUUGUCGGAGCGUCAGCCGCUCAUCGUUUACUGUGAGAAAAUUAGAGUGUUCAAAGCAGGCUUAUGCCGUUGAAUAUAUUAGCAUGGAAUAAUAAGAUAGGACCUCGGUGCUAUUUUGUUGGUUUGCGCACAGAGGUAAUGAUGAACAGGGACAGUUGGGGGUAUUUGUAUUUCGUUGUCAGAGGUGAAAUUCUUAGAUUUGCGAAAGACAAACUACUGCGAAAGCAUUUACCAAGGAUGUUUUCAUCA
rnacentral:rRNA from 1 species